rnacentral:rRNA from 1 species
AGCCCUUAAAUAAAUUAAAGGUGUAACCUGCCCAAUGGUUUGAGAAUUAAAAAUUAUAAAAAAUUUUAAGAUCACUAAAAGGACGCGGUAUCUUGACCGUGAUAAUGUAGCAUAAUCACUCGCCGCUUAAUUAGCGGAUAGUAUGAAUGGUUGAACGAGUAUAACACUGUCUCAAGUAAAAAUUUUAUAAAAUUGGAAUAAUAGUAAAGAUACUAUUUUAAAUUAUAAGACGAAAAGACCCUAUAGAGCUUAACUAUAAUCUUUCAUUAAAACUAUUAAGUUUAUCUUAAUAUAAUUAAAAGAUUGGUAGUUUAGUUGGGGCGACUGUUUUCUAUAAAAAACGAAAACAAACAUAAAUUAAUUACAUAAUUUAUUGUAUAAUUAAUAAAUUUAACAAUUACUAUAGUAGGUAAUAAUGACCCGUUUUCUCAUACAAAAAUGAGAAACGAUUAAUAAAUAAAAGCUACCUUAGGGAUAACAGGAUAAUUUUAUUUUAGAGACCUAAUCAAAGAUAAAGUUUGUCACCUCUAUGUUGAAUUAAGAUAUCCUAAUAAUGCAGAAGUUAUUAAGGGUAGGUCUGUUCGACCUUUAAAAUCUU